CUUAGCGGCGGACGGGUGAGUAACGCGUGGGAACAUGCCCAAAGGUACGGAAUAGCCCCGGGAAACUGGGAGUAAUACCGUAUGUGCCCUUCGGGGGAAAGAUUUAUCGCCUUUGGAUUGGCCCGCGUUGGAUUAGGUAGUUGGUGGGGUAAUGGCCUACCAAGCCGACGAUCCAUAGCUGGUUUGAGAGGAUGAUCAGCCACACUGGGACUGAGACACGGCCCAGACUCCUACGGGAGGCAGCAGUGGGGAAUCUUAGACAAUGGGCGCAAGCCUGAUCUAGCCAUGCCGCGUGAUCGAUGAAGGCCUUAGGGUUGUAAAGAUCUUUCAGGUGGGAAGAUAAUGACGGUACCACCAGAAGAAGCCCCGGCUAACUCCGUGCCAGCAGCCGCGGUAAUACGGAGGGGGCUAGCGUUAUUCGGAAUUACUGGGCGUAAAGCGCACGUAGGCGG
rnacentral:rRNA from 1 species